AUGGAGACAGGGGCCCGCCCCCGCCUUAAUCCCUCUCCACCUCUGCAUAAUGGGGAAAAUAGCACUGCAUGAUGACAAAUUCCGGAGACCAAAAUAGGGUCCAACGCAUCCUGAGACCUCGAGCUGGUAACGUACAGGGAAGGUGAACAGUGAGUCAGCCCUUCCUUCCGCUAAGUCAACAUAGUGGCCUUAUUCCCACCACUCCAGGCUGGGAAAGCACAAACAUACAAGAAACGCUUUUAAUCACGGAAUAAGACUAAGCCUCAAGCCCCCUCAUCUGCCAAAGAGUGUGCUCUGCUGUCAAACCUCAAAGUCAUUGAGAAACAAACCCUGAUAAUCUCACCCAGCUUCAAGACCAAGGGAGUCCUAGUGUCAUGGAGAAGAGCAAGGAGGGGCCCAGGGCUGCCGAGGCCCCACUUCUACACCCCGUUUUCUUCCGGAGCACAGAAAUCCCAGCCCUUGGGUGUCCCCUGUUCUCAGGCUGCCAUCGUGAGGAAAAUACCUGAUAAACUAAACCACACAAGGAUGAAGAGAUGCCCUCCAGAAGGUGCAUACUUUGAAAAAGAGGACCCCCUAGAGACAGCAAUGUUUAAAGGAAGCCAUGUGAUACAGCAGAAUUUCAGAACCUCAAGGCAACCAGAGUUUCCCAGUACCACUUAAACAUCACAACACACAUAACCUUCUGCUCUGCUAGGAGUUUAUCAACUGAUUAGCCGUAACUCACUUUGUGUGCGGAUCUUGGAAGAAUGCUAAUAAUAAUAACUGAUGUUUACUAAAAUCCAGGUGUUGUGUAAAACA